CGUCAGGGUAGGGGAACGAUUCGUAGGACCUUACAAAGUAUGAGCAGAAAAUAUUUACUGCUAUACAACGUGAGAUUGACGAAGCUAAUGUUGAUGUGGAAAAAAUAUGCAUGAUUUGUAGAUAUUAUAAUAUCAGAAAAAAAAGGGAGGAGAGAGAGAGAGAGAGA